UGAUAUAUCCUUCAAUCAGUUAGGAGGGCUAUGUACGUUAUGCUUUCUUGAGCAGGUUGAUCGCCUCAUUGGCAAACAUCAUCUCUUUAAACGUAGUAUCAUACUGAUUAAGGCAUGGUGCUAUUGUGAGAGUCGAAUUCUCGGUGCCCAUCACGGUUUGAUAUCUACAUAUGGUUUGGUGACCUUAGUUCUUUUUAUCUACGUGUCAUUGUUUCAGGUGAAAGGAGAGUGAUACUAAGGGACCACAGUAUGCAAACAACACUUCAAAACUUGAAUCUGAUCUCUCAAGUCAGUGGAGAUCGCUCAUUCACAUGGAGGAUAUCUUUGUAAAUGAAGGCAACCACUUUACCCUGCUCAGACUGGUGUCAUUGGCUAUGGAAAUCCGACUAAACGAGCUCGUUCUUUGUCAGCUUCUUAUUAAAGAGGGAAGCCUAGUCAGAUUUUUUGGGUGCCCUAUAACUCAGGGUAUGAAAGCUUGAUUCAUGCAUAUAUUUUGUU